rnacentral:rRNA from 1 species
GAUGAACGCUGGCGGCGUGCCUAAUACAUGCAAGUCGAGCGAACGGACGAGAAGCUUGCUUCUCUGAUGUUAGCGGCGGACGGGUGAGUAACACGUGGAUAACCUACCUAUAAGACUGGGAUAACUUCGGGAAACCGGAGCUAAUACCGGAUGAUAUUUUGAACCGCAUGGUUCAAAAGUGAAAGACGGUCUUGCUGUCACUUAUAGAUGGAUCCGCGCUGCAUUAGCUAGUUGGUAAGGUAACGGCUUACCAAGGCAACGAUGCAUAGCCGACCUGAGAGGGUGAUCGGCCACACUGGAACUGAGACACGGUCCAGACUCCUACGGGAGGCAGCAGUAGGGAAUCUUCCGCAAAGGGCGAUAGCCUGACGGAGCAACGCCGCGUGAGUGAUGAAGGUCUUCGGAUCGUAAAACUCUGUUAUUAGGGAAGAACAUAUGUGUAAGUAACUGUGCACAUCUUGACGGUACCUAAUCAGAAAGCCACGGCUAACUACGUG